ACUAAAAUGCACUUGGGGGAAGAUUUAAGCUGAGCUGACCCGAGUUUAGAUGAAGCCCGUUCAAAUGCAAAAUGAUAAGUCUAAGCUUUAGUUUGGUUGGUGCAUAAUAACAUUAAAGGUGAGAAGAGUCAUUGGAAAAAGAGAAAAUUUGCUAGAGAAGAAGAAUAGAUUGAGUAGAAGAAGAAGAAUCGUUAUUGAGCUGAAAUGUCAUUGAAAAUUUUGAAAACAAUCUCAAGAGCCAUGAUGAAGGGUAACAGCGACUAUGUGGUGCAAUCGAGCAAGAUUCAUCGGAAACUAGGACAAUGAAUUAAAAUUUGAUUUUUAUGAGGGUGUUUUUGUCAAUGCACGAUAAAAGGUUAACGUGUAUAAAUAUCCUUGUUCCCGCCCAAACACAAGCUUUGCCGUCAUUCCCCGUUCCCAUCCGUCGAUGGAGACUGAGAAUGUGCCCGUUCACUUGGAAUCUCUGGCGGCUUUUCUGGUUCGCCACUAUUCCGAUCAGCUCCGCUCCAUUACGCUUUCUCCAGAUCCCAAACUCCAUUACCCUCUCUACGUCGAUUAUGCAGAGCUAAUGGACGAGGAUCCUCCGCUUGCCCAUCUCAUCUUUUCCAAACCAACUCGCUACUUGCGUAACUUCGAUGAUGCUGCCAUCUGGGCUCAUAAAAUGAUAUUUGACAAGUUAAAGUUCUCUGAGAAAGGAGUUGAAAAGAAAUUCAUUUGUGUUCGUAUCAACAUUGGUGGUUCUCCGCUUGAAUGUCCUGAAACAUUUCCAAGUAUUGGACGUGUGAGAGUGAAGCACCAUGGGAUUCUUCUAACACUUAAGGGAACUGUAAUCCGGUCAGGAUCAACCAAAAUGUAUGAAGGGGAGAGGACAUACAUGUGCAAGAAGUGCAAACACAUGUUUCCAGUUUAUCCUGAGUUGGAAACAAGGAACUCCAUACUACUACCAUCCAGUUGUCCCUCUCAGAAGUCAAAACCUUGUGAAGGGACAAAUUUCCAGUAUGUAGAAAAUACUAUAAUGUGCCACGAUUAUCAGGAAAUCAAAAUUCAAGAAAGUACUCAGGUUUUGGGUAUUGGGGUCAUUCCUCGUUCAAUUUUGGUCGUUUUGAAGGAUGAUCUUGUUGACAUUGUUAAGGCUGGAGAUGAUAUCAUUGUGACUGGCAUUUUGACAGCAAAGUGGUCUCCUGAUUUAAAAGAUGUGCGCUGUGACCUGGAUCCUGUAUUAAUCGCUAAUCAUGUUAGGAGAACUAAUGAGCUGAAAUCAGAUAUUGAUAUCCCUGAUGAUAUUAUCAUGCAAUUCAAGCAGUUCUGGACAGAAUUUAAAGAUACCCCACUUAAAGGGAGAAAUGCUAUUCUACGUGGCAUUUGCCCUCAAGUUUUUGGACUCUUCACUGUUAAGCUGGCAGUUGCAUUGACAUUAAUUGGAGGUGUUCAACAUGUCGAUGCUUCUGGGACUAAGGUUCGAGGAGAGUCUCACUUGCUUCUGGUUGGUGAUCCAGGUAGUACUGGAAAGUCUCAGUUCCUGAAAUUUGCAGCUAAGUUAAGUAACCGAUCAGUUAUCACUACUGGGUUGGGAAGCACUAGUGCUGGAUUGACUGUUACUGCUGUCAAGGAUGGAGGGGAAUGGAUGUUAGAAGCCGGAGCCCUCGUUUUGGCUGAUGGAGGUCUUUGCUGCAUUGACGAAUUUGAUAGCAUGAGGGAACAUGACAGAGCAACAAUACACGAGGCAAUGGAGCAGCAAACUAUUAGUGUUGCCAAGGCUGGCCUUGUGACCACUCUAAGUACUAGGACCAUUGUAUUCGGUGCAACAAAUCCCAAAGGGCAUUAUGAUCCUAAUCAAUCGCUCUCGGUCAAUACAACACUCUCUGGUCCCUUAUUGAGCAGAUUUGACAUAGUCCUUGUCCUUCUUGACACAAAAAAUCCUGAAUGGGAUGCAGUUGUAUCAUCUCACAUUCUUGCUGAGGGAGAACCAGAUAAAGGAAAGCAUGAAGAACAGAUAGGAAAUGUCUGGCCACUUUCAAUGCUUCGCAGGUACAUUCACUUUGUAAAAGGAUACUUCAAGCCAGUCCUUACAAUGGAGGCAAAAAAAGUCAUCUCAAGCUAUUAUCAACUUCAAAGACGAUCUGGAACUCAAAAUGCAGCUAGGACAACUGUGCGAAUGCUGGAAAGUUUGAUACGCCUAGCCCAAGUGUUGCAGCUCAUGCAAGGCUUAUGUUCAGAAAUGAGGUUACUCAAUUAGAUGCCAUAACUGCAAUUCUAUGCAUUGAAUCAUCAAUGACUACCUCAGCUAUUGUCGACAGUGUAGGGAAUGCCUUACACUCUAAUUUCACAGAAAACCCUGAUCUGGAAUAUGCCAAGCAAGAAAGGAUAAUUCUUGAAAAGCUGAGAUCAAUGGAAGACGUUGCCAAUAUGGAAGACUUGUGAGGAUGAAAUCGUGCGGUGGUGAGGAUAAUUUUUGUUCGCAAAGUUGUAUCCACACCAGCCCUUUAAUGUUAAAGUGAUGUAUAGAAAUUAUAUUUUUGUUCUGGAAAGUUUAUUUUAAUUGAAGGCUUAAUUGAAGCAGUAAGUCGUAUAAUUAAAACGCCA